rnacentral:rRNA from 1 species
UACGAAGGUCCCGAGCGUUGUUCGGAAUCACUGGGCGUAAAGGGAGCGUAGGCGGCGCGGUAAGUCAGAUGUGAAAUCCCCGGGGCUCAACCCCGGAACUGCAUCCGAUACUGCCGCGCUAGAGGAUUGGAGAGGUAGCUGGAAUUCUUGGUGUAGCAGUGGAAAUGCGUGGAGAUCAAGAGGAACACUCGUGGCGAAAGCGAGCUACUGGACAAUAUCUGACGCUGAGGGCUCGAAGGCCAGGGUAGCGAAAGGG